UACGGGGGGAGCAAGCGUUGUUCGGAUUUACUGGGUGUAAAGGGCGCGUAGGCGGUAGCACAAGUCAGUUGUGAAAUCUCCGGGCUUAACUCGGAAAGGUCAACUGAUACUGUGCGACUAGAGUGCAGAAGGGGCAACUGGAAUUCUCGGUGUAGCGGUGAAAUGCGUAGAUAUCGAGAGGAACACCUGCGGCGAAGGCGGGUUGCUGGGCUGACACUGACGCUGAGGCGCGAAAGCCAGGGGAGCGAACGGG
rnacentral:rRNA from 1 species